rnacentral:lncRNA from 1 species
CUGGUGCUUCUGUCCCUGCUGUCUGCAGUGGGUACCAUGCUAGGGUUGCUGGCCCAUUCCCUGCAUGUGCCCAGUGAGAGUUGUAGGUGCAAUUGGGGCAAUACAGGGCUGUCUAUAAGGUGGCAUCAGCUUGGCUGCUGUCAGCAUGGCCAUUGCAAUGAUGAGAGGUACAACCGAACAAGUGUAUGGAGCUGAAACACCUGCCAGGUUAAACCACAACACUGGAUUUGCUCUCCUCA